CAACUCCACCAAGCCCACUUGAACCACCGAGCCCACUAGCACCACCGAGGCCACCGACUCCACCAAUUCCUCCAAGCCCACCAGCACCACCGAGGCCAGUAAUCCCACCAAGACCUCCAACUCCACCAAACGGAAGCCCAUUAGAACCAAUGCCGGAGAAGCCACCAACACCACCGUAUGUUAGAAAGUUCUUUUGAUCAUCAAGGCCAGCAUCAGUGGGCGCACUUUUGGCAGUGUUAUGAACCACUUGAUCAUCAUGAUCACUAGGCGUAUUUCUUGCACUAGUGUGAACCGCUGCUACAGCAAGAACAAGCAUGACAUUGGCACACCACUUUGCCAUCUCUCUCAAAGAUUAUUAUUAUUUGAUUACUAUUAUGAAUUUUUCUUCUUAGUACAUGUGAACUAUUGUUGCGGGAGUCUCCUUAUAAAGGCUAAGAGGGCAUUGGGGAGGUAGUUGUGGGUAGUAAAUAGAAUUGAAUGCGGGCAACUUAGCUGGCACACUCGCUCAUAAGGUCUGCUGUUUGAAAUAUAUAUUUUCAAGGAUUUGUGCUUAGAGUAAAAUUGUUAUAGGAGUCAUCGUAAUGGUUUAAACGCCUGCUGUACGGCCAAGGCGGAUGUACGGUACAGCAGAAAUUUUGUUUUCAGAAGUACUGCAAGUUUUAAAAACAAUUAUGGACGUUUGAUAAAUUUUACUAUUAAACUGCUGAGAGUAAGUAAAUGAUUAAAAUAUAAAUAAUAUAGGAUAAAAUUUACUUAUACAUGUGAAAACACGUACACACAAUAUUUUUAAUUUUGUAUGAUGAUAAUUUUAACUAAAAAUAAAAUUUAUAAUAUAUAUUGAUUUUAUUUUUUAUCGUAAACAAUUGAUAAUUAAAUUUAUAAUAUAGUGAAACAAAUUUAAUAAUAAAUCGACCAACAAAUAUUGAUGAAUCAUAAUAAAAAUUUACUAAAAUAUUGGUUUUGUUUCCAAUUGAAUAAGAAUAAUUUUGGGUUUAGGUAAUAAUUUUAAAGAUAUUGAUGGAAUUGUAUUAAAGGAUAAAAUUGAUUUUUAAAAUCAGAAUCUAAAAGCUACUUCUUACUUACUUUUCAAAAUCAUCUGUAGUAGAGGCUGAUUUUGACAAAAGUGAUUUUGAUUUUUUUUUUUUACCAAACACUAAAAUUAACUUUUAGAUUUUUAAAAUUAGUUUUAAAUCUCCUAAAAGCAAUCCCAAAUAGAGCCUAACUCUAUUAUAAAUUCUUAAUUAAUAGCUCAUCUAAUAUUUGGUGUUAAAACAUGGACAAAAUAUCACAAAUUGGUAGGUAAAUUUGGACAUUUCAUUUCCACGACAUAUAGUCAAGUUUAAGGCUGUGGCCCGACAAAUUAAUGACCUUACUUUGCUUAGUGUAACGUAAUGCAUGAGCUUCGAUAACUUCAUAUGUAAACUUUAGUUGCUUUCGUUAAAGUUCUAUAACAUCAGUCAUCUCCAUUUAAAAGACAGAAGAAGAAGAAGAUAAAACACGCGAUUUAAUUAUUUACGUCGAAUAUCUCUGAAGUAGAGAAUUACAUUACAAUAACAUACCAAAAGCUCUCAAAACUAAAACUCAAAAGCAAACAGUAACUGAAACCAAAGUAAACGAACUAUCACACGAACAUGGCAUUAAAACUAAACUUUCUUAAUAACGCGCACGGGAAUAACGUGCACGGGAAACCCUCAAACAGGAAAAACCUUGAUUAAUUAAAAGCAAGUAAAGAAGCCCUAAUGUCUUCUAAGGCUCCAACUAUUUCAAGGGAAAGGAAGCACUCCAGUGCCAAUGCCAACUCCACCGGCAGAACCACCACCAACGCCGCCACCAGCACCACCUCCAACGCCGCCGCCACCGCCAACGCCGCCACCCACGCCACCAACUCCACCAAGCCCACUUGAACCACCGAGCCCACUAGCACCACCGAGGCCACCGACUCCACCAAUUCCUCCAAGCCCACCAGCACCACCGAGGCCAGUAAUCCCACCAAGACCUCCAACUCCACCAAACGGAAGCCCAUUAGAACCAAUGCCGGAGAAGCCACCAACACCACCGUAUGUUAGAAAGUUCUUUUGAUCAUCAAGGCCAGCAUCAGUGGGCGCACUUUUGGCAGUGUUAUGAACCACUUGAUCAUCAUGAUCACUAGGCGUAUUUCUUGCACUAGUGUGAACCGCUGCUACAGCAAGAACAAGCAUGACAUUGGCACACCACUUUGCCAUCUCUCUCAAAGAUUAUUAUUAUUUGAUUACUAUUAUGAAUUUUUCUUCUUAGUACAUGUGAACUAUUGUUGCGGGAGUCUCCUUAUAAAGGCUAAGAGGGCAUUGGGGAGGUAGUUGUGGGUAGUAAAUAGAAUUGAAUGCGGGCAACUUAGCUGGCACACUCGCUCAUAAGGUCUGCUGUUUGAAAUAUAUAUUUUCAAGGAUUUGUGCUUAGAGUAAAAUUGUUAUAGGAGUCAUCGUAAUGGUUUAAACGCUUGGGGUACCAGCUGAAAGAAAGUUACUGCGAUGGCCAGAGUGGCAAAUGCAGAAAUAAACAUGCAUGCCAGAUAUGGUGGUGACAAAUGAAAUGCUGAUUAGGGAUGUGGCGUUCGGGCAUGUGAUAUGCAGAGAAACAUUUGCCCAACCAAUCAAGUAAUUACAUUUGGUUGGAAGAAAAGGGCCGAUGUGAAGUGAUUGACUCAAUUCUGGGCAUUAUUAAUUUCCUGGACCAUUUCCAAUGACAUGAAAAAUUUUAAACUGUGUGUGACAAGGAACCUUACCUUUUGAGUUUUGAGAGGAAAUGCAAAUCCUAAUUAAGCUGUGAAAAAGUAAAAUUAAAUGUUCUUGCGUUGCGGAGAAUUAAGUAAAAAGUCAUCGAGCCUUUUCACUGAGCUGUAGUCCAUAACUCAUAAUACGUAGUAGCACGUGGUCAAUUCUAAACAUCAAUUUUUUUUUAUUAAAAAAAACUCUAAACAUUGAAUUAAUUUGCAAGAAAUAUUUCUUUUUUUUUUUUCAUCUUGGUAUUAGACUUCUAUAUCAAACAUUUUCUACUGUCAUUAUACUUUUUAUUCUACUAAUUAAUUUGCUUAUCUAAUCUAAAAGAAAAAAAAUUCUUAUCUCAACUAAAUUUGCGUGUUUUGGUUACUUUACUCACUCACUUUGUCAAUCUAGUUUUCUCUAACUAAAGACUUUUAGUUAACAUGUACUGACACAUUAAUUUAAUGGUAAAAUCUGUCCAAUCCUUUGGGACCAUCGUAAUUCAAGAGUUUGGAAAAAGUUAAACACUAUUUGCACACAAAAUUAUAAAUAAAAAUGAAUUAAUAAAUUUGUACAAUUUUAUAUGCAAGUAGCAUUACUCAUGGCAAAAUUUGAAGCAGUUAAUGGUUUUAUAUAGGGUAAGUUGAUUAUUAAAGAAUUAGAUUGUUUUGUUAAAUCUGAUUGGUGGUUAUUAAAUAUAAAGUUUCCAUUCAAUAUUUUAAUUUACUGUUGAGUUGCAUUAAAUAUUGGUUGGUCAAUGGAAGUCAGCUGCUAAAUUCAAUGUCGACCUACAUUCAAUCUCUACCUAACAAGUUUAAUUUGGGAUCGGAUACCUGCACAUUCUAAGUCCACCCCAAAUAUUACACUCCACCAUUCCCAACUCUUUACACCUAAAUUGAGAAAAUCGUUUGGAGAAAAUAUUGGUCAACACUAAUUGAAUCGUUGACUUAAACUAUAGGAAAUAAUAGAACAUUUACAACUGAGAAAAGUUUAGUAACACGACACAUAAAUUCUCCACCAGUUUUAUUUUUUCCUCUAUGUAUAGUAGUGUCUUUCAGCUAUAGGAUCAUUUUUCUAAUAUAUAAAUUAUCAUUAAAAUACAUGCUUAUUGAUAACGUAUUAUCAGUUUUGAUAUUCAGUUAUUGAUUCACCGAUCAUCCAAUUGAAGAAACGUGUUUUCAUUUCUUGAAUAAAACAUUAUACACUGAGAGUUAUUUAUAGAUGCAGAUGCUACAUUUUUUCAAAGAUUACAUAUGUAAAUACGGAAGGAAAUAGGUCUGUGUUGUGCGCGAGAGCUGGGCUGACGCUGGUGCUGCGUUGCGUUGCGCGCGCGGGACUGAUGUACUGCGCGAGGGUGAUUGCUGGAUUGAUUUGCGCUGUGCGCGCGAGCUGGAGCUGAGGAUCUGCGUUGCUAGGCGUUACUGCUGCUGCUUCGCGGGAUGUGUUGCGUGCACGGUUGCUGCUGAUUUCGCACAAUGGUGAUGGCUGGGGCUUGCUGCGUUGCACGCGGCUGCUUUCGCUGGUGGGACUUCGUUGCGCGCUGCUGGGCUGCGAGACACGGGAUGCUGGUGUUGCGCUCACGAGAUGGUGCGUUUUCCGGCGGGCUGGUUUGCUGCUGGUGUGCUGCAAGCGGCUGGAGAAGAAAACAAGUUCUGGAAAAUUAGGGAUUUUGUGAACAGUGAAUAGUGAACAGUGAUUUUCGAUUUUUGGUUUUUUUUUAAAUAAAUAAACAUAAUCAUUAAAGAACAUAUAUGGGAAUUAAAUAAAUAAAUAAAAUAAUUAUUUCAUUGAAUAGGGUUUCAUCUUUAACCUCAGUAUAAGAAAAUUAGCUGGACAUACUUAAAUUGGGAGCAACAAAAAAAAUAAAAUCAGCCAUGGGAAGCCGAAAUAUUGCUGCUGCAACUGGUCUCUUCCAACCUGACAUACUUGAAUUGGGAGCAACAAAAGAAAUAAAAUCAGCCAUGGGAAGCUUCCUUUUCCAAUUAUGAAACAAAGCUUCCAUAAUAACGCCAGCCAUUAAUUCCACUUUUGAAAGUCAAGUGUGGGCCCCAUUUAAAUUGCUUUCCCCUUUUGCAAUGCUAUGGACGUGCAACUCAAUUGGAGAAUUGAAAUUCUUUUUCAAUGCAAAUUGCUCUUAGCUCUUAACUCUAUCACAGCUUCAACUAAUAUUUCUCUAAAUUAUUAUUUUUUUUGCACUUUUUAUUUCCAAUCUCCAAUUAAUUUCCUAUUCAAUAAAACAAUUCAAUUAAUUAAAAAUAACAAAUAAAAUUAACUAGCAAAUAUACAAUAAAGGGUAAAAUAUGUAUAUAAAUUAUGCUCAUCACAUUGCUUAAUAUUUAUUAUUAUGGUUGGUUGAAUUAUAUACAUGGCAAUUAAUGAAUGAAAAUACAGGUGCUCCUGAAUCCCAAAACAUUUCCACGACAUAUAGUCAAGUUUAAGGCUGUGGCCCGACAAAUUAAUGACCUUACUUUGCUUAGUGUAACAUAAUGCAUGAGCUUCGAUAACUUCAUAUGUAAACUUUAGUUGCUUUAGCUAAGGUUCUAUAACAUCAGUCAUCUCCAUUUAAAAGACAGAAGAAGAAGAUAAAACACGCGAUUAAAUUAUUUACGUCGAAUAUCUCUGAAGUAGAGAAUUACAUUACGAUAACAUACCAGAAGCUCUCAAAGCUAAAAAUCAAAAGCAAACAGUAACUGAAGCCGAAGUAAACGAACUAUCACACGAACAUGACAUUAAACUAAACUUUCUUAAUAACGUGCACGGGAAACCCUCAAACAGGAAAAACCUUGAUUAAUUAAAAGCAAGUAAAGAAGCCCUAAUGUCUUCUAAGGCUCCAACUAUUUCAAUGGAAAGGAAGCACUCCGGUGCCAGUGCCAACUCCACCGGCAGAACCACCACCAACGCCGCCACCAGCACCACCGCCAACGCCGCCACCCACGCCACCAACUCCACCAAGCCCACUUGAACCACCGAGACCACCGACUCCACCAAUUCCUCCAAGCCCACCAGCACCACCGAGGCCAGUAACGCCAGCAAGACCUCCAACUCCACCAAGCGGAAGCCCAUUAGAACCAAUGCCGGAGAAGCCACUGACACCACCGUAUGUUAGAAAGUUCUUUUGAUCAUCAAG
rnacentral:lncRNA from 1 species